rnacentral:rRNA from 1 species
CCUACGGUGGGCAGCAGUGGGGAAUAUUGGACAAUGGGCGAAAGCCUGAUCCAGCCAUGCCGCGUGUGUGAAGAAGGCCUUCGGGUUGUAAAGCACUUUCAGUGGGGAAGAAAGCCUUGGGGCUAAUACCCUCGAGGAAGGACAUCACCCACAGAAGAAGCACCGGCUAACUCCGUGCCAGCAGCCGCGGUAAUACGGAGGGUGCGAGCGUUAAUCGGAAUUACUGGGCGUAAAGCGCGCGUAGGCGGUCUGAUAAGCCGGUUGUGAAAGCCCCGGGCUCAACCUGGGAAUGGCAUCCGGAACUGUCAGGCUAGAGUGCAGGAGAGGAAGGUAGAAUUCCCGGUGUAGCGGUGAAAUGCGUAGAGAGCGGGAGGAAUACCAGUGGCGAAGGCGGCCUUCUGGACUGACACUGACGCUGAGGUGCGAAAGCGUGGGUAGCAAACAGGAUUAGAUACCCUGGUAGUC